GACUAUAUAUCAUAAUCCUUGGGGGUGGCAUGCAAGGUUACGUCCAUACAAGUGAAUCACAAAUUAUAAUACAGAAUGAAGCCAUAAACACAAGGGGUCAGCGUCAUCAUCAUCAUUGUCAUCACCUUAACAGUUGGUUGUUGGCGGCGGGUCUGCCUUAUUUUUGUGUUUUGUUGUUGUUGUUGUUGUUGGUUCUUUUGGUCGGUCUUCUGCCCU
rnacentral:lncRNA from 1 species